rnacentral:rRNA from 1 species
UGAGGAAUAUUGGUCAAUGGGCGGAAGCCUGAACCAGCCAUGCCGCGUGAAGGAAGAAGGUCCUAUGGAUUUUAAACUUCUUUUGUCGGAGAGCAAUAAGGGUCUCGUGAGAUCCGAUGAGAGUAUCCGACGAAUAAGCAUCGGCUAACUCCGUGCCAGCAGCCGCGGUAAUACGGGGGAUGCGAGCGUUAUCCGGAUUUAUUGGGUUUAAAGGGUGCGUAGGCGGUCCGGUAAGUCAGCCGUGAAAAGCCCCCGCUCAACGGGGGUCGUGCGUUUGAUACUGUUGGACUGGAAUGCGGAUGCCGUGGGAGGAAUGUGUGGUGUAGCGGUGAAAUGCAUAGAUAUCACACAGAACACCGAUUGCGAAGGCAUCUCACGAAUCCGCAAUUGACGCUGAGGCACGAAAGCGCGGGUAUCGAACAGGA